rnacentral:tRNA from 1 species
GGUUAAAUAGUUUAAAAAAAACUCCUCCUUUUCGUGGGGGUAAUAGGCUUGCCUUUUAACUU